rnacentral:rRNA from 1 species
AACGAACGCUGGCGGCAGGCCUAACACAUGCAAGUCGAACGCCCCGCAAGGGGAGUGGCAGACGGGUGAGUAACGCGUGGGAACCUACCUCAAGGUACGGAACAACCAAGGGAAACUUUGGCUAAUACCGUAUGUGCCCGAGAGGGGAAAGAUUUAUCGCCUUGGGAUGGGCCCGCGUCGGAUUAGCUAGUUGGUGAGGUAACGGCUCACCAAGGCGACGAUCCGUAGCUGGUCUGAGAGGAUGACCAGCCACACUGGGACUGAGACACGGCCCAGACUCCUACGGGAGGCAGCAGUGGGGAAUAUUGGACAAUGGGCGCAAGCCUGAUCCAGCCAUGCCGCGUGUGUGAUGAAGGCCUUAGGGUUGUAAAGCACUUUCGCCGAUGAAGAUAAUGACGGUAGUCGGAGAAGAAG